CGCGGGGUGGAGCAGCUUGGUAGCUCGUCGGGCUCAUAACCCGAAGGCCGUCGGUUCAAAUCCGGCCCCCGCAACCA
rnacentral:tRNA from 121 species